GACAGAUCUGAAAAGGCAACGAUUUCUGAGUGAUCAAGAUUGGUUUUCAUUACGGCUCGUAUUUUCACUGGUUUCAGGUUUACACUUAUCCUGUCCUGUGAUUAACCUCCCACCCGUGUUCCCGGCUGAUAACGCCACUUUCAUCAUAAACUACACGCCAAGACCUUAGGCUCCGGGCUCUAAACCGGGUACCCAGCGGCCGCCCGAGGUAGUAAACAAAGCCCCGCGCAGGCGCAAUAGCAGCAGAAGGGGGCAAACUUGGUGUGCUGUCAGCCAAUGGGGUUUUUCGUACAGUGAAAAGUGGAAAAACAACAACAAAAAUCCCCACACCGCAUUCUAAGGUGAUAAACUUGUUGGCUUUUCUCCAUUUUUUUUUUACAGACUUCUGGCUUUUGUUUCUGAAGAACUUGUGCGGCCUUCGGGGCCUCGUAGAGAAGCCCUUCCUCGGCCCCGCAGACCUGCCGCUGGCAUGUCGCCUACUUCUAGCCUCGUUUGUUCUCGCCGCGGAGUCUUGAUCUUUUUUAUUUGACGACAGCAUUAAUCCAUUGGGGCUGGAGGAGACGGGGGGGGCGUUAAAAGGCCUCAAAACACCCCCAAAAACAUUACUACUCCCCGGGCUGGCCCAAACAUCGCGAGAUCUGCCUGCGCGAACAGCGGACGCCCCCCUCACCCUCCGGGCGUUUGCUCAUGCGCUUGACUGAUCAUUUUUUAGCGCGAAGACGUUUAGAAACGUUUUGGCUGGUAAUAGUCAACCAGAUUUGACCCUCGAGAAAGGUCAGAGGAUAAUUCACGUGGACGCGAUGGAUUCGAGCACACAACACUACAUUCUUCGAGAUUUUGCAGUCACGACUCCACAUGCUUAUACGGUCGUCACUCUUUUCCGUUGCUCUGUUUCGGCCGUGAACUCUGUGAGGAAGUUUCAGCGAAUCGAGUAGUAAAGGCGUGGGCGUGGGCGAGCCGUCCAGGCUUUAAACCAGAGUGGGUAUGUGGGACACCUGCGCCAGCACUGGAGUUUGCCCUGCAGCGUCUGAAAGGAAGCAGGCUCUGAGCCAAGGGGAAGGCAGAAGACAGAUAUGGAUGUGUUCCCAAGCUUCCCUGGUGGUUUAUGGCAUUCUCCAAACUCCUCUGCAAGGGCUGUUCCUGACCAAGAAGACCCAAGGAGACCGUCUCUGAAAUAAAGUCCGGAUGAAGUUCUUAGAUUUGAUCCUUGCUGAAAUCAGCAUUUCCCUGGAACAAGUACACUUAACGCUAGCUACUGAAGUCAUCCGAAGUCAGCUUCUGGACAGAAGGGACCAUCUCCUUUCGUCUCUGGAUUUCUCGCACUUAGCACCCAACCCGUUUAUGAUAUCAUCUCAGUGUACCCUUGUGAAUGAAGAAUGGGAAGACUCAAGACUGACAGCAUUCUGGGGGCCCCGAGCCUAUUUUGUUUUGCACGCUUUUACGGGGAGGAUAGUGAGGAGGUAGAAGUGUAGUAGGAGAGAACUUGGCAACAGUCAGUAUUAUGUCUGAAAUUUACAUAUGCUAGUCAGACAGACCCUGGAGCAAUAGCAGACUAGAGUUCCAGAAGGAUCCAUAAAUUAUUUCCUGGGUAUUACCAAUCCCCCUGACAUUUUAUUUAUAUGUAGAAUGAAGUUCUCCUGAUAUUUUUAUUUACAUCUAGAUGGGGGCACCCCAAAUAGUCUCAUUUUCCGCUGAUGUUUUGCCCGGCACCAUCUCCCCGUGUUGAAAUAGUUCACCUAGGGUUGAGAGUGAAUGUCAUGAGAAGGUCAGUUCCUGCCCCAGGCAAUCCUGCCCUAAUCAGCUGUGCCUCCAAGUCCCUAGAACACUGCACCAAGAGCCCAGCCGGUAGGACUACAAGACUCCUCCCUGGAGAACCGUGGGGUCUUCAGAGUCAGAGU